AUUUGCAAGUUUUUUUUUUAGAUAAUACAAUUUAUUUUAAAGAAAAUUGUAAAUGCCACUAAGAGCUGUGACCCAUGGAUUCUUUGGGUGACAGGUAUAUGAAAUUCCUUCUUCCUGUUUACUCGUUUGGUGCUGUGAUCUCCCAACUGUUGUUAUUAAUUCCCACUGAGCCUAAUUUAAACCAAAAGCUCGCUGUGGAGACUGAGUUUCAUCAGACGACACUCCUGGGAAGCCUCCAAUGCUACAAUACUACAUUUUGGUUUGCCAAACAAGUUAAAUUUCUCACAUUCCUCUUAAAACUUUAGAGCAACUGACCUAAGAAUGCAUUAAAGCAAUACUUGAGCUGUGUCUCCACCUGAAGAUCUCACAAAGCACUAACAUUCAUUAACACUCAUCUCCAGGGCCCAGCCUCUUCUUGUGCCGUGCGAGGUAAACUUCCUUCUGCCAAGAAGAUUAAGAGUUUGACAUCACACAGGAUAUAUAUAUAUGGCACUACAGCAAAUGCUAAGAAAUAGCAGUAGAGUCCUCAUGAGUCUGCAUGCAUUCUAAUGGAAGAAGACAAAUUACACACACACACACACACACACACACACACACACACAGAGAGAGAGAGAGAGAGAGAGAGAGAGAGAGAGAGAGAGAGAGAGAGAGAGAGAGAUUCUGCUCCGAAAGUGUUUUAAUGAAAACUACAACAACAAAGGUUGAAAUGGUGACGAGUCUGUGGUAGUGUAAGGACAGUGGUUUUAGGCAGUGCGGUUUAGGAGGGUCUCACAAACGGAGCCACCUAUGAUCAGACCCUCACGGGAGGAAGCAAAGCAGGACUUGAGCCAUAAGGGCGGUGGGACAGGGUGGCUUUCUAGAUAAAAGGAUAAAUGUCACUCCAACAAUCAGAAGUCAGGGAGACCCUGGUGUGUUCCAGGGUCAGUGCCUGACCCAGAGCUGGGCACAGAGACCCAGCAGCAGAUGACAGAGAGAAAACUCUGUCUCUGUAGAGCUUGAUGUCUACUGAGAGAGGGCACAACUAACUCAAGGACACACACACAAACCGGAGAGAAAGCUCAGGCUGUAAAGUGUCACUGCCCAAGCAUGAGAACAUGGUUUGAGUCCUCGGAGCUGUGUAAAGGGUCAGGCGUGGUACUGUGUGCUUAUAAUCCCAGCACUAGGGAGUUAGAGGCAGAUGGAUUCCUAAGGCUUAUAGCCAGGUAGCCUUGGCUAAUUCAUCAACUCCACGAUAGUGAGUAGCAUUGUCUCAAAAAAUAAGAUACAUGACUCCUAAGGAAUGACACUUGACAUUGAUCUCUGAGCUCCAUAUGCAUGUAUACACAUACCCACAUGUUUCUGUAUAUGCAUGUGUACACACACACACACACACACACGUGUACACACACAUUUUGCUCAAGUUUAAAAGGAUCAUACAAAUGACAGUAAAUUUAUGAGUUAUAGAAAGGCAUAUUGUAUUCGUGUGAUCAGACACUUGCGACGUCCUGUGAGAACUGAGGAGGGUCCAAGCACAGCUCCCCGCUCCCAUCUGACAUCUCCCAAUGCUUUACACUUGACUUCGCACCGUCAAUAAUCCCACACAGCCUUGGCUGCUCAGAGAGCUUCAGGGCAAUCUGCUCCCUGGCAUGCUUUCUAGAAACAUGUUGGUUUGGAGAACUUAGAGCCACCUGCACCAUAUGUUCUAACUCUGCACAGAAAAGCUAUCCUCAAGCUUCUGUACAGCAGGUACUUCCAGAGCCGUACCCAAGAGUCCCUGAGGGCAAGAGCCAGCGUGAGAAUGGGGGAACCCACUCGUGUACCUAAGUCCAUCCUGGGCCACAUUCCAGCCUUUUUGUGUAUGGUGUUGUUGUUGUUGUUGUUGUUGUUGUUGUUGUUGUUGUUGUUUUGUUUUGUUUUAUUUUGUUCUGUUUUGUUGAGACACUUUCUCUGAGUAGCCCUGGCUAUCCUGGAUCAGAGAUCAGAACUCAGAGAUCUGCCAGCCUCUAGGUACUGACUGGGAUUAAAGGUAUGCGCCAUCGUCACUUGGCAAUUCCAGCGAUUAUGAUUGAUAUUUGGCCUUACAGUAAUUACUUCACUCCCUAACCUGAUCCGUCUGAGGGGUUAAUGAUGGCAGCUCCAAAGCUUUCUGAAGAUUAUACAAGAUCACACACACAAAGACAGACUCAUAAGUAUGAGGAUGAGACCAUUCCCCUGGCAGAAACUAGGAUUCGUACACUUUUGUCUUAACAAAGAGUUUAAGUGGCCCAUGUAAUGUUGGAGCUAGGCACACAAAUAAACUGAAAGGAGCUUGCAUAGACCUGAUGAGCCAGUUUAGUCCAAUUAUCCCAAGAUACAUACUUAGUGGCCAUGAGAAACUGCUGAGAGCAUUGAGGAAGGAUGCAGCAGAAAAGGAAAAGUCAGCCAGCUUCGAAUGGCUUCCUCGUGUCGUACUUCCUCACCCUGUCCCAUGGGGACAGAAGUCAGACUGGUGAUGUAAUGCAGAGACUAAAGCCUCAAAUGUAGAAAAAGAGGUUCUCCAAAGUUGGAUCCCAAAGCUGAGGGGGUGUUUUUAUGAACCAGCAAAUAACUGAUUAGUCCAGGCACACAUGCCUGCCGUCCGUCCAGAAGGAAAUCUUAGCAUCAGCAACACCCACACAACAAACAGAACCCUAAUCAUCUUUUAUUGGCUCAUAGAUCACAGGAACAGGCAUACCGUCCAAGCCCCAGGGACUGCAAGGGAAGUGCUCCACAGGUAUAGUAGGCCUCCUCCAGCUCAGCUGGUUUGAGACAGCUGCACCAGAACUUCCCUCAACCCAGAGUCCCCAACUCAGAGAAGGAAGUCACAACAGGCUGGCACUUCCACACCCAUGGAGAGAAGCUGGGCAUCUUACGACUACUUCACUGUUCUGUAUGCACCCAACUAAAUUCUACACACACUAAACGGGAAGGAAGAUGAUAUUUCCAAAGGGCAACAGAAAUUGGAAAUAGUCAGGAAACCCAAAGCUUACUACACUACGGUCCAACCAGAAAAGAGCAACAAACCCCACACAGCAUUCACAUGUCGAAGCAAGUGAACCCCAGACUUACUUCCCGGCUUUUGGAGUCUUUCAGUCACUAACCAUUUGCUUCUUAUUGCUCACCAAAGUACAAUGCGUAAUCUGUGGGGUACUAUGUGACUUAGACAUAGCAUGCCUGGCUUGUUACCAUCCUUACGGAAAAGCCCAUGAACAAGGUUAUUAAAUCUUUCUUUUAAUGUUGAGGCCACCGAGCCUCAGUGGGAGAGAAACACACACAUUUACCCCAGGACUCACACAAAAUAGAUUCCAGAUCAUGGCACUGAACUAUGGGCUUCUGACAUCGAGGUUUUGGGGUCCAUGUGUUCACAGAGUCAAACUCUUAGUGCCACAGUGGUAUCCAGCCUCUGUGGGGAGCAGAACCAAGUGCCAAGUUUGGGACCUUAUGAGAGAGGUAGGUCAGCCAACCAGUCCUGACCAGUGGAGCGAGUACAAGAACUCAGAGGGACGUGGGGAGCUCCAUCAAACUAGAAACUCCUCAAAAGCUGAGGUAACUUCUACAGGAAAACAUGCUCUUGCCAGAGGAAAGACCAAAGGUUUCUCCAGAGUCCAGCAGAACAGUGUCAUUUGAAAAUCUCCUUGAGGGCUGAAGAGAUGGCUCAGUGGUUAAGAACACUGACUGUUCUUCCAGAGGUCCUGAGUUCAAAUCCAACCACAUGGUGGCUCACAACCAUAUGUAAUGGGAUCCAAUGCCCUCUUCUGGUGUGUCUGAAGACAGCUACAGUGUGCUCAUAUAUAAAUAAAUCUUUAAAAAAGAUCUCCUUGAACCUACUGAUUACUUGAAGCAGCCAGCCAAACUCUGCCUAUGGUAUAGUCUGAACUUUGUUUUGCUUCUCAUCAAAAUAAAGUCUGGAAAGUAAGAAA
ensembl:lncRNA